UUUAAUUAUAAUUUCGAGUUUUUAUGUUCAACGUUUGACCAUCCAUCUUAUUUAAAAUUGUUUUAUUGUUUUAUGAUUAGUAUUUUUUUAUCAUUAUAUGAUAAAUAUAAAUGGUAUUUUACGCGUGACUUAUUUUUUAAUUUUUUCAUAAAUUAGUCAAAUAAGAUAGACGGACAAAUAUUGAACACGGAACCUACAAUUACACUUAAA
rfam:Oryza rufipogon genomic scaffold, chr10